rnacentral:rRNA from 1 species
AUUGAACGCUGGCGGCAGGCUUAACACAUGCAAGUCGAGCGGAGAUGAGGUGCUUGCACCUUAUCUUAGCGGCGGACGGGUGAGUAAUGCUUAGGAAUCUGCCUAUUAGUGGGGGACAACAUUCCGAAAGGAAUGCUAAUACCGCAUACGUCCUACGGGAGAAAGCAGGGGAUCUUCGGACCUUGCGCUAAUAGAUGAGCCUAAGUCGGAUUAGCUAGUUGGUGGGGUAAAGGCCUACAAAGGCGACGAUCUGUAGCGGGUCCGAGAGGAUGAUCCGCCACACUGGGACUGAGACACGGCCCAGACUCCUACGGGAGGCAGCAGUGGGGAAUAUUGGACAAUGGGGGGAACCCUGAUCCAGCCAUGCCGCGUGUGUGAGGAAGGCCUUAUGGUUGUAAAGCACUUUAAGCGAGGAGGAGGCUACUGAGACUAAUACUCUUGGAUAGUGGACGUUACUCGCAGAAUAAGCACCGGCUAACUCUGUGCCAGCCGCCGCCGUAA